rnacentral:rRNA from 1 species
GUACACAAAAAUGCACAUGCUGUGAGCUCGAUGAGUAGGGCGGGACACGUGGUAUCCUGUCUGAAUAUGGGGGGACCAUCCUCCAAGGCUAAAUACUCCUGACUGACCGAUAGUGAACCAGUACCGUGAGGGAAAGGCGAAAAGAACCCCGGCGAGGGGAGUGAAAAAGAACCUGAAACCGUGUACGUACAAGCAGUGGGAGCACGCUUAGGCGUGUGACUGCGUACCUUUUGUAUAAUGGGUCAGCGACUUAUAUUCUGUAGCAAGGUUAACCGAAUAGGGGAGCCGAAGGGAAACCGAGUCUUAACUGGGCGUUAAGUUGCAGGGUAUAGACCCGAAACCCGGUGAUCUAGCCAUGGGCAGGUUGAAGGUUGGGUAACACUAACUGGAGGACCGAACCGACUAAUGUUGAAAAAUUAGCGGAUGACUUGUGGCUGGGGGUGAAAGGCCAAUCAAACCGGGAGAUAGCUGGUUCUCCCCGAAAGCUAUUUAGGUAGCGCCUCGUGAAUUCAUCUCCGGGGGUAGAGCACUGUUUCGGCAAGGGGGUCAUCCCGACUUACCAACCCGAUGCAAACUGCGAAUACCGGAGAAUGUUAUCACGGGAGACACACGGCGGGUGCUAACGUCCGUCGUGAAGAGGGAAACAACCCAGACCGCCAGCUAAGGUCCCAAAGUCAUGGUUAAGUGGGAAACGAUGUGGGAAGGCCCAGACAGCCAGGAUGUUGGCUUAGAAGCAGCCAUCAUUUAAAGAAAGCGUAAUAGCUCACUGGUCGAGUCGGCCUGCGCGGAAGAUGUAACGGGGCUAAACCAUGCACCGAAGCUGCGGCAGCGACGCUUAUGCGUUGUUGGGUAGGGGAGCGUUCUGUAAGCCUGCGAAGGUGUGCUGUGAGGCAUGCUGGAGGUAUCAGAAGUGCGAA